GCUGGGUGCAGUGGUGUACCCCUGUAAUCCCAGUGGCUUGGAAGGCUGAGGCAGGAGGAUCCCAAGUUCAAAUUCAGCCUCAGCAAUUAGCAAGGCCCUGCGCAACUUAGGGAGACCCUGUCUCUA
rnacentral:sRNA from 1 species